UUUGCGUUAAAGCCUACUCCUAUUGAAAGCACUGGGAGUUUUGCCAUGCAUUGUGAAAGGUCUGGGAUGUGGCAGCAUGUACGAAAAUCUUUGUGAUUUGUUGGACUACUUGGACAAGAUCUAGGGAUAUGUGAGCUGCCAUCAUCAGCUUUUCUUUCCACAUCUUAUCUCAGAACUUGGCCAUGCAAAUUCAGAGAACCUGUAUUUGCAGUUGUUACUAAACUUGCAGCAUCAGAACUGCAGGAGGAAGAGCAUCUACUUUUGGAGACAUGGAGAGAAAGGAGUCUGACUAAGUAUGAAGGAAUUUUGGGGACUUCCAUGCAAUGCUUAAGACUUGUUCAUCACCUCAGAAAAAUCUUCUGCUUCCAUAGUGAAGUUCUCCUAACUGCAACUGAAUUGUUCUUCCUGUAGCACUGCUUUGAGGAAAAGCUAAGGCCCCUCAAAUGGUCCUGUUUUCUGCAAAGAAGACAAAACAAGGAAAUGAGCUAUCAUCCCUGCCUUCCAGUGCAGCACGUCCGCUGUCCUCUUGACAGGUAAAUCUUGUGAAUGUGUUCACCAGGGCUGUCAUGUUAUUGUUGCACAUUCCUCUUGUAACAGCAUGUGAUCACAAGUGAACACGAGAUACCUGGGAGCAGUACAAUGAGGACCCUGUUUGUUUGCUGCUGUACCCUCCAAGAGAAUAUUUUAGCACCUGAUAGCACUGCAUAGAUUAGGCCUGAGAGGAUGUCCAUUCCCCAGUGAAACAAUGGUAAUCUGCAUCUUUUCCAUUGAUGUCUUCUCCUUGCACUCUGCACCUGAUUCACUUCUAAUCAAGAAGGCAUUGUAUUGGUGCUGCCUGUAUAACCAGGAUGGUGAGUGGAUUGAGGAUUAGCUCUGCUUUCAUCUCCUAAACUUUUUAGAGAAACAGCAAGCUAAAUUAGGAUGAGGAUGCUUUCUAAAGGCUUUGAAGUAGUUUGUUAGUAAACAGAAUGUAUCAGUGCCUCCCUAAAAAAUAUCAUGCUUUUCUAAAUCUGUUGCUUUUUAUUAACCAGAUAUUAAUUGAGGAAAAA